rnacentral:rRNA from 1 species
UACGUAGGGGGCAAGCGUUGUCCGGAUUUACUGGGCGUAAGGCGCGUGUAGGCGGCGCGUCAAGUCGGGUGUGAAACCCCGGGGCUCAACCCCGGGCGGCCGCCCGAAACUGGCGCGCUUGAGGACGGAAGAGGGGAGUGGAAUUCCUGGUGUAGCGGUGAAAUGCGUAGAGAUCAGGAGGAACACCCGUGGCGAAGGCGGCUCCCUGGUCCGUCCCUGACGCUGAGACGCGAAAGCGCGGGGAGCGAACGGG